UAUAUUAAAGUGUAUUAUGCAUAAAAAUUUUUGAUAUUUUUGGUAGUAAUUUGUUUUACUUGAUAUAA
rnacentral:tRNA from 1 species